rnacentral:rRNA from 1 species
AUACGGAGGAUCCGAGCGUUAUCCGGAUUUAUUGGGUUUAAAGGGAGCGUAGGUGGACAUGUAAGUCAGUUGUGAAAGUUUGCGGCUCAACCGUAAAAUUGCAGUUGAUACUGGCUGUCUUGAGUACAGUAGAGGUAGGCGGAAUUCGUGGUGUAGCGGUGAAAUGCUUAGAUAUCACGAAGAACCCCGAUUGCGAAGGCAGCUCACUGGACUGCAACUGACACUGAUGCUCGAAAGUGUGGGUAUCAAACAGGAUUAGAUACCCUGGUAGUCCACACAGUAAACGAUGAAUACUCGCUGUUUGCGAUAUACAGUAAGCGGCCAAGCGAAAGCAUUAAGUAUUCCACCUGGGGAGUACGCCGGCAACGGUGAAACUCAAAUGAAUUGGCGGGG